UGACGAGGCACUACGGUGCUGAAGUAACAAAUGCCCUGCUUCCAGGAAAAGCCUCUAAGCAUCAGGUAACAUCAAAUCGUACCCCAAACCGACACAGGUGGUCAGGUAGAGAAUACCAAGGCGCUUGAGAGAACUCGGGUGAAGGAACUAGGCAAAAUGGUGCCGUAACUUCGGGAGAAGGCACGCUGAUGGUAAGUGAAACGACUUGCUCGUGGAGCUGAAAUCAGUCGAAGAUACCAGCUGGCUGCAACUGUUUAUUAAAAACACAGCACUGUGCAAACACGAAAGUGGACGUAUACGGUGUGACGCCUGCCCGGUGCCGGAAGGUUAAUUGAUGGGGUUAUCCGUAAGGAGAAGCUCUUGAUCGAAGCCCCGGUAAACGGCGGCCGUAACUAUAACGGUCCUAAGGUAGCGAAAUUCCUUGUCGGGUAAGUUCCGACCUGCACGAAUGGCGUAAUGAUGGCCAGGCUGUCUCCACCCGAGACUCAGUGAAAUUGAACUCGCUGUGAAGAUGCAGUGUACCCGCGGCAAGACGGAAAGACCCCGUGAACCUUUACUAUAGCUUGACACUGAACAUUGAGCCUUGAUGUGUAGGAUAGGUGGGAGGCUUUGAAGCGUGGACGCCAGUCUGCGUGGAGCCAACCUUGAAAUACCACCCUUUAAUGUUUGAUGUUCUAACGUAGACCCGUAAUCCGGGUUGCGGACAGUGUCUGGUGGGUAGUUUGACUGGGGCGGUCUCCUCCCAAAGAGUAACGGAGGAGCACGAAGGUUAGCUAAUCCUGGUCGGACAUCAGGAGGUUAGUGCAAUGGCAUAAGCUAGCUUGACUGCGAGCGUGACGGCGCGAGCAGGUGCGAAAGCAGGUCAUAGUGAUCCGGUGGUUCUGAAUGGAAGGGCCAUCGCUCAACGGAUAAAAGGUACUCCGGGGAUAACAGGCUGAUACCGCCCAAGAGUUCAUAUCGACGGCGGUGUUUGGCACCUCGAUGUCGGCUCAUCACAUCCUGGGGCUGAAGUAGGUCCCAAGGGUACGGCUGUUCGCCGUUUAAAGUGGUACGCGAGCUGGGUUUAGAACGUCGUGAGACAGUUCGGUCCCUAUCUGCCGUGGGCGCUGGAGAAUUGAGGGGGGCUGCUCCUAGUACGAGAGGACCGGAGUGGACGCAUCACUGGUGUUCGGGUUGUCAUGCCAAUGGCAUUGCCCGGUAGCUAAAUGCGGAAAAGAUAAGUGCUGAAAGCAUCUAAGCACGAAACUUGCCCCGAGAUGAGUUCUCCCUGACUCCCUGAGAGUCCUGAAGGAACGUUGAAGACGACGACGUUGAUAGGUCGGGUGUGUAAGCGUAGCGAUACGUUGAGCUAACCGAUACUAAUGAACCGUGAGGCUUAACCUUACAACGCCAAAGCUGUUUGGUGUGGUGA
rnacentral:rRNA from 1 species